rnacentral:misc_RNA from 1 species
GAUGAAGAACGUAGCGAAAUGCGAUAAGUAGUGUGAAUUGCAGAAUUCAGUGAAUCAUCGAAUCUUUGAACGCACAUUGCGCCCCUUGGUAUCCCGAGGGGCAUGCCUGUUCGAGCGUCAUUUCACCACUCAAGCCUGGCUUGGUGUAGGGCGACGUCCCCUUUGGGGACGCGCCUCGAAACGCUCGGCGGCGUGGCACCGGCUUUAAGCGUAGCAGAAUCUUUCGCUUUGGAAGUCGGGGCCCCGUCUGCCGGAAGACCUACUCGCAAGGUUGACCUCGGAUCAGGCAGGGAUACCCGCUGAACUUAAGCAUAUCAAUAAGCGGAGGA